rnacentral:misc_RNA from 1 species
GAUGAAGAACGUAGCGAAAUGCGAUAAGUAAUGUGAAUUGCAGAAUUCAGUGAAUCAUCGAAUCUUUGAACGCACAUUGCGCCCGCCAGUAUUCUGGCGGGCAUGCCUGUUCGAGCGUCAUUACAACCCUCAGGCCCCCGGGCCUGGCGUUGGGGAUCGGCGGAAACCCCCUGUGGGCACACGCCGUCCCUCAAAUACAGUGGCGGUCCCGCCGCAGCUUCCAUUGCGUAGUAGCUAACACCUCGCAACUGGAGAGCGGCGCGGCCAUGCCGUAAAACACCCAACUUCUGAAUGUUGACCUCGAAUCAGGUAGGAAUACCCGCUGAACUUAAGCAUAUCAAUAAGCGGAGGA